UACGUAGGAGGCAAGCGUUGUCCGGAAUUACUGGGCGUAAAGCGCGUGUAGGUGGUGGGACAAGUCUGCUGUGAAAAGCGCCUGGCUUAACCGGGCGAGGCCGGCGGAAACUGUCCGACUCGAGGACGGUAGAGGGGGGUGGAAUUCCCGGUGGUAGUGGUGAAAUGCGUAGAGAUCGGGAGGAACACCUGUGGCGAAGGCGGCCCCCUGGGCCGGCCCUGACACUGAGACGCGAAGGCGUGGGGAGCGAACGGG
rnacentral:rRNA from 1 species